UAACACUUUCCCAUGUUUCCACUUCUCAACAGUUGGCUGAUCCGUUGACGAAAGCGUUAUCCCGGACUGCUCUUUCUCCUAUUUUGUCCAAGUUAAAGGUGGUUUCUCCCCCCCUUCAACUUGAGGGGGGGUGUUGAGAUAUGUAACAAUAGGCUAUUUGUGCAAUUAGGCUGAUUUUGUAAUUUGUUUAUAUACUCUGUAAAUAGGUCAAGUGUGUAAAUAGGCUACUAUUGUAAUUAGGCUNNNN
rnacentral:lncRNA from 1 species